UGCUUCCGACUCCGCGCGCCUCGGCGCGGCUGGAUUCGUCCGAGGGGUGCAGCGUGGCGUGGAGCUGCUGGCCUGCUGCUCUUCUUGCCGUCCCUCCGGGGCUCAGGGCCUCUGAUCGCACCCCCUCCCCUCGCCCCGCUCCUCUGGCCCUCGAUGCUCUUUCCUUAGCGGCGGCUCUUUGCAGAAGAGCAAGCUCCUCCCCCGCCCCUCGUGGUUAUCCUGCCCACGCCCCCCCCGACCAGUCCGCCGUCGUCUCGCGCGUUCUCCGAUCACUGGAGCGCCGGCGUCCCGGACGUGCUGCGAGCCGCUGUGCUCCUACUGCUCGUCAGGACCUGGGUCUUGGAGGGCGACGACCCCAAUCCCACCUCGAAAUUACACUCUGACUUCUAACCUCUUCUCCGAUGUUCCUGACGUCGUUCUGGACCUCUUGUUGCAGAAGCUAUAUGCAAAUGAAACUGGUUCAGAAGGUUUUGGGGAGGGUGCUGAUGGGAUAAGACGUCCGUCUGAGUCCACGUAUGGAGUGUGCUCUGGAGAUGAAGCUCAGCCCAGGGGAGCAGAAGAGGAAGACUGCCAGUGUCCUGCCAAUGUCCGGUCACCACCUGGAGAGGAGGUUGUAGCUUUCUGUAACUCCUUGGGAAGUCGAGACAAAUUGGAGGAUCCUGGAAAAGAGGACUGGUGCCCUCUAGAAGAAAAGGCAGUGCAAUACCGUCUUAAUAGUGAUCUGGAUUAUUUACCUUCUGUUUUGCUUGUAACCACCCACAAUAAAGGCAGAGAAGACAAGAAGAGCUAAAGAGGAGAGUUGACCACAGUUUGCCUUCCCCUCGGAGGAUCAACAGUACACCUUUUCCCAGCUGCCUGUGUGGUAUGUGGGUACUCCUGUGAUUGCACAUGGAAUCUGCAGUCAGAACCUAGAAACCUGCUCUGCACCAGCCACCUCCUGCAGAAAUUUGGCUCUGGCAUUGUAUGGAUGAAGCCCUCAUCACUGGACCUGCCAAGACUCUGUGUCACAGACCAUCAUAACGGAGUGAACACCUCACUGAGAUGGGAUGGGCAGUUGCCUCCCAUAAGAUACAAGGUCCCUCCUAGUUUGUGAAAUUUCUGGGUCACAAUUGAAACUCAAAAAGGAAAACGCAGAGCUUAGCCACCUCCUUCUUGAUCCUGAUAAGAGCCUGAUGUGGACCACUGAUUCUGAAACCAUCCUGCACCUGUGUUCCUUCAUCAUCCAGUGUAACCCAAGCAAACUACUCACCACUUUCUGGAGAAAGAGGUGCCCUUCUCCGCUACCCAUGUUCCUUGCUCCACUGAAGGCACCACGGAACCCAGGAAGUGGAACUAAACCUCUCCCAGACCAGACAUUUCUGAGGACUUGAGCCCCUUUGCCCGAAAUGACAGUCUCCCAGAUCGCUUUGAGGGGAUGCUCUGAAGAGAUUCCUGGCAUGGAGCUUCUAAAAUGCUUGGAAUUUCCCAAGUGAUAAGAGUUCCAUUGUUAUUCAUGAGCCUCCUUGGAUAAAACCUGAAUUUUUGCUAACAAGAUGAUUCAAGAUGGGGGCUGGGCACCAGAAAGAGCAGGCAUCUGAUUAGAGGGUUGGACUUUAAGCUACUCUGACCUCUAGGGAGUAGAGUGUGGCUGCAGAUUGAGUUCAGUCACGUGUCUGAUGAUUCAGUCAAUCAUACUUAUAUGAUGAAACCCCAACAAAAGCUCUGGAUGCUGAAGCUCAGUGGAGCUUUCUGGUUGGUGAGUGCAUGGAUGUACUGGGAGGAUAACAUGCCCUGAUUCCACAGUUAAGGGCACUGAAGCUCUGCAUUCAGGACACUCCCAAAUCUCGCCCUGUGUGUCUCUUGGCUGGGCCUCCUGAUUUGCAUCAUUUAUAAUAAAACUACAGUCAUAAUUAUAUCAA